AUAUGCUUUUCACGGUGCUGUUUUUUCUUUUUUCACGGAAGAACAAUGGUUAUACGCCGCUGCCGUUGAUUGUUUUGUGCGAGCAAAUCUCGCGCGUUACAGUUUCCACGAUGUUUUUUUUUUUUUCACGAAAGAGCAGUGGUUUUCGAGUUCACGAUGUUUCUGUUGAAAGAGAUCAGUUUGUUUUUUCCUUCAAGAGAGAGGUGCCAUCACGUCUCUUUUUUUUUAAGUACACCAACAUCACGUUGCUCUUUUUGGGCAG
rnacentral:lncRNA from 1 species